AGUUGAAGCCCCAAAGGAGAUCCAUGGUUUCCUAAAUAGAGAGUUGAGAGAAUGAGCGAUUGAGAGGUAAGAGGCGACUCAAAGGUCAAGCGAGAGAGAGGGGACUCACACGGGAGUGACUGAGUAGCUAAAGCGAAGGCGAAAACUGAGAGAGUAGAGGGCGGAGAGCCAUAGAUACUUGGGUGAGAGGCAGAGACGCUGGGAUGAGAGUCGGAGACGCCGGGGUGGGAAUCG